UAUAGGAAAAUGGGACAUCUUGUGGCGGGGGCGACGACGUCCGACAACGACGACAAGAUACACGGUGGCUACGACAACGUCAUAUGACGGCGACGAGAUACGUAGCCGGCAAUGAAGACAGCGGCGAGACACGUAGCCGGCGACGAAGACAGCGGCGAGAUACGUAGCCGGCGACGAAGACGGCGGCGAGACACGUAGUCGUCGGCGACGAAGACGACUCAUCAUCUGAAACCAUGGCGUUGAAGAUGGAAAAAAGCUUUGUGUGGCACAUGACCGGCGGCGGAACGGCGACGGAAAUGAGAUAAUGAGAUUUGGCGGCCGGCGUCUAGACUGUGUUACACAACGCCAGGCCGCCGGCGGACCGACGUCCUAACGCAACGUGUGCUGAUGCGUGCAUGCGGUUUCUUCCAAUGUACUUUCAAGAAAUCGGAACAUACAACAAGCUGAUGCGCCAGUGAAUUAGCUAUUUUGAUGACAUUGUGCAUCCCGUGAUUGGUGUUCCAUUUUCUAGUGGUCAUGUACACAUUAUGGAGACGUAGAAGCAAAGUGCAUAUGCCUGCUCCAUCCUUUUUUUGGAAAUGUAUUCGUGUCUACUAAGAUGAAACUUUAUCUGGGAAGUAUGUAUUUGAA